rnacentral:rRNA from 1 species
AAUAGAUACCCUGGUAGUCCACGCCGUAAACGAUGAGUGCUAGGUGUUAGGGGGUCCAACCCUUAGUGCCGAAGUUAACACAUUAAGCACUCCGCCUGGGGAGUACGGUCGCAAGACUGAAACUCAAAGGAAUUGACGGGGGCCCGCACAAGCGGUGGAGCAUGUGGUUUAAUUCGAAGCAACGCGAAGAACCUUACCAGGGCUUGACAUCCCUCUGACCGUUCUAGAGAUAGAGCUUCCCUUCGGGGCAGAGGUGACAAGUGGUGCAUGGUUGUCGUCAGCUCGUGUCGUGAGAUGUUGGGUUAAGUCCCGCAACGAGCGCAACCCUUGUCCUUAGUUGCCAGCAUUCAGUUGGGCACUCUAGGGAGACUGCCGGUGACAAACCGGAGGAAGGUGGGGAUGACGUCAAAUCAUCAUGCCCCUUAUGUCCUGGGCUACACACGUGCUACAAUGGCUGGUACAAAGGGUAGCGAAGCAGUGAUGUGGAGCCAAUCCCAAAAAGCCAGUCACAGUUCGGAUUGUAGGCUGC